UAACACACGACGUGCUAGUUACGUAAUGUAUUGGUCAUUUUUGGUAAUUUCAUGACUUACCAGCUGGCAACGUAACUGUUACGUCCUAUGGAGGUAAUUCCAUUACCAUUACAGUACCAAAUCACCACGUCGCCAGUACGGACUCCUUACGUCGCAAGAUAACCAAGUACGUCCCAGUUACGUAAUAAAUUCGUACUAUUUUGGUAAUUUCAUAACUUACUGGCAACGUAACUGUUACGUCCUAGGGAGGUAAUUUCAUUACCAUUACAGUACCAAAUCACCACGUCGCCAAUACGGACUCCUUACGUCGCAAUAUAACCAAGUACGUCCCAGUUACGUAAUAAAUUCGUACUAUUUUGGUAAUUUCAUAACUUACUGGCAACGUAACUGUUACGUCCUAGGGAGGUAAUUUCAUUACCAUUACAGUACCAAAUCACCACGUCGCCAGUACGGACUCCUUACGUCGCAAGAUAACCAAGUACGUCCCAGUUACGUAAUAAAUUCGUACUAUUUUGGUAAUUUCAUAACUUACUGGGAACGUAACUGUUACGUCCCAGGGAGGUAAUUUCAUUACCUUUACAAUUAUAUUAAACAUUAAUUUCGUUUUCUCUUUAGGUUAGCUUAUUAAAACUUUUCAGUCUCAAAGUUUCCCUUAAAUAAGUCAAAAUAGAUUAAAUACACACGAACUGCCAUUUACAUGGGAAACAUGAAACAGCGCGCGCCUCCCGCCCAGCUGACCUCAACCAGUGCGCGCGACCGCGCGUGCACAGCAGAACGGUGGCUGACAGGACGCGGUGUUGUUUCUCUGAACUGAGACCCGUUUAAAAUACACAAUAACUUAUUUUAGUUGCUUAAGAGUUAUGAAAACAGCAUGUUAACAUACUUAUUAAGGCUCACAGAAUCUCGCUCGACAGUUUAAACCGUGUUUUAUGCUGCACUGACAGGAAUGUUCAUCUGACAGGAAAUUUCGUUUUAUCAGUUUUGUGGGACACGUUUGGCGUUUUGGACUGGUGAAGGUUAGAGCAGCGUUACCCUGGCAACCGGAACAUGAAGAGGACCGCGCGCUCUCUCACCGUCUGACAAAACUACGCCUGCACAAUUCAGAAAUGACAUUUUAAAUUAGCUUAUAUGGAGAAUCCAUUUAAAUGUUCAUUUUAACAUAUGUUUAUUUAAAUGUUUGUAAUGUUCAUGUUCAAUAAAUGAAGUAUUCAA